CCUACGGGUGGCAGCAGUGGGGGAUAUUGCACAAUGGGGGGAACCCUGAUGCAGCGACGCCGCGUGGGUGAAGAAGCGCCUCGGCGCGUAAAGCCCUGUCAGCAGGGAAGAAAAUGACGGUACCUGAAGAAGAAGCCCCGGCUAACUACGGGCCAGCAGCCGCGGUAAUACGUAGGGGGCAAGCGUUAUCCGGAUUGACUGGGGGGAAAGGGGGCGCAGACGGCGAUGCAAGCCAGGGGUGAAAGCCCGGGGCCCAACCCCGGGACUGCCAUUGAAACUGCGUGGCUGGAGUGCAGGAGGGGCAGGCGGAAUGCCUGGUGUAGCGGUGAAAUGCGUAGAUAUCAGGAGGAACCCCGGUGGCGAAGGCGGCCUGCUGGAUUCCGACUGACGUUGAGGCACGAAAGCGUGGGGAGCGAACAGGAUUAGAUACCCGGGUAGUC
rnacentral:rRNA from 1 species